rnacentral:misc_RNA from 1 species
AACGCACCUUGCGCUCCUUGGUAUUCCGAGGAGCAUGCCUGUUUGAGUGUCAUUAAAUCCUCAACCUCAUAUUCCUUGUGAACGUGAAGUUGGAUGUGGAAGUUUGCUGGCCUCGCGGUCAGCUCUUCUGAAAUGCAUUAGCAGGGCCGCUGUAUUGCGAGACUGUUGCUUGGUAUUGAUAGUUGUCUUACCAGGUGUCAGAGUUAGCGAUGUGCCCCCGGCUUCCAGUCGUCUCUCUGGGACAACACUUGACGAUUUGACCUCAAAUCAGGUAGGACUACCCGCUGAACUUAA